UGGGGAAUAUUGCACAAUGGGCGCAAGCCUGAUGCAGCCAUGCCGCGUGUGUGAAGAAGGCCUUCGGGUUGUAAAGCACUUUCAGCGGGGAGGAAGGCGUUAAAGUUAAUACCUUUGCUCAUUGACGUUACCCGCAGAAGAAGCACCGGCUAACUCCGUGCCAGCAGCCGCGGUAAUACGGAGGGUGCAAGCGUUAAUCGGAAUUACUGGGCGUAAAGCGCACGCAGGCGGUUUGUUAAGUCAGAUGUGAAAUCCCCGGGCUCAACCUGGGAACUGCAUCUGAUACUGGCAAGCUUGAGUCUGGUAGAGGGGGGUAGAAAUCCAGGUGUAGCGGUGAAAUGCGUAGAGAUCUGGAGGAAUACCGGUGGCGAAGGCGGCCCCCUGGACGAAGACUGACGCUCAGGUGCGAAAGCGUGGGGAGCAAACAGG
rnacentral:rRNA from 1 species